rnacentral:rRNA from 1 species
ACGGAGGGGGCUAGCGUCGUUCGGAAUUACUGGGCGUAAAGCGCACGUAGGCGGAUCAGCAAGUUAGGGGUGAAAUCCCGGGGCUCAACCCCGGAACUGCCUUUAAAACUGCUGGUCUGGAGUCCGAGAGAGGUGAGUGGAAUUCCGAGUGUAGAGGUGAAAUUCGUAGAUAUUCGGAGGAACACCAGUGGCGAAGGCGGCUCACUGGCUCGGUACUGACGCUGAGGUGCGAAAGCGUGGGGAGCAAACAGGA